GUUCACGCGACAGAUGAACAGAGACGUGAGAUGUAAUUUAGUCAAAAUAUCGAUGAAGAUAAAGACUAAUUUAAUUAAGGACAAGCCUCUGUCGACGGGAGCAUAAUUAUCAGCAAAACGUGUCAGAACUCUGCCCAGAAUUCUUCCAGGCCCCCUCGGCCCUUAAAGGGCCCUUCUCUGAGCUGUAAACGAGCUGUCAAUCCUGGGAGUGAUCAUUUCACAGAUUGGAGCAGAAGGCAGAUUGCGGUGGAAUGAUGGGAGAGUGUUGAUAUAUUAGACAAAAGACAAGCCAAAAUAAAUGGACAGAGGUUCCUUUAUGCUCAAAGGGAGGAGCUCUCCAAAGAGAUGUAGGAAAUUACACCUCACUGAGUUGCAGUCAUCCCCGUUGCAGAUCACCCAAUGACCUUGCUGAUAUCUGAUGCUUCACUACAGCCCUAAGAAACUCCCUACAAGGACCUACGAGAGACCAUCAUUCCAGUCAAGUCUGCUGAGUGAGGAAUGUCACACCAUGGCAUCCCUGGAGCCUUGGCAAGGUGCUCACAAUGAACCAAAAUUAUUGCACAGGAAAUCAUGCACAUGUUUAGUUCAGUAUGCAUAAAAACUUGGUUCUGUGUCUUGCACUGGAAAUGCAGUCACUGUAGUGACCAAUAACAAUUAUUACAUGGCUCUCUGGAAUACUUGAUUCUGAUUGGUCAAUCUUAGCAUUCUGUGGUCAAUUAUUUUUGCAUAAUGACAAUUAAACUGUGAUUGUUGCAGUGUUUAGGUUGUAGUGUAAGGGGUUUAGGUAGCCUGCUUUGCAUUGUGCUUAGCCACACCCAUUACCUGUGUUAAAAUCACUGCAAUGCAUGGCCUCUUGUAUGCUUUAGCUUCCUUAAAAUUAGAGGAUUUUAGAAGAAACAUGAACCACUUCCUUCUAUUGUAGUAAUAUGUUUUAAAUACUGCAUAGAUUUUGGUACUGGAAUGAAAAAUUGUGACUUUGUCAAGACCAUCAAAACAUACAAAAUAAAAAAGAAAAUUAAUUAUUGUAUGUAAGUGUUUAAGAUAAAUAACAAUUUAAAACAAAGUGUUCCAUUGUCCUAAUGGGUCAAUUUUGACCCAUAUGGGAAGAACCAGUUGUGACCUUUCACCUUCAGACUUUAUGGAUGUUUUACAACUUUAAAUAGUCUAUACAAUCUAUGAAUCAAAUUUGACCUAAACUAUUUCAGUUGUUCUUCAAAUUUAGCCCCUAGCCCCAUACUGUUCUCUAGCAUCCCCACCAGCUUCACUGGGUACUGAAUCUUUCUCACAUAUUGCUACUUUCCUCUUAAACAUUUGUGAAAUAGGCAUGUACUGUAACUCUAAAAUGUACACUGUUGAUUUUCAAGCAGAAUAAAUUAGAAAUUGCUGUAAUAUAGUUAAGACAUUAUUAAAUGCCAAAAGUGAAUGAAAUAAAU